rnacentral:rRNA from 1 species
CACGGGGGUUGCGAGCGUUGUCCGGAAUUACUAGGCGUAAAGGGCAGGCAGGCGGAUCCAUAAGUUUAUCGUUUAAGGCGUCGGCUUAACCGGCGUAGGGCGGUAGAUACUGUGGAUCUGGAAUGCGGUUGGGGAAGACAGAAUUCCUGGUGUAGCGGUGGAAUGCGCAGAGCUCAGGAGGAAUACCGAAGGCGAAGGCAGUCUUCCAAGCCGUUAUUGACGCUCAACUGCGAAGGUGUGGGUAUCAAACAGGAUUAGAUACCCGGGUAGUCCCUGAGCGGG